rnacentral:lncRNA from 1 species
GAUGUAUGCUUAAUACAUAACUUCUUUGUAUAAAUUUAAUUAUUCUAAUUUUGCAUUAUAUUAAAGCUAAUUUAAGGUUAAAUGCCUCCAUUUUCGAUAUAAUUUUAAUAAUUCCAAUUUCUAUAUACUAUUUUAUAACUUAAUUUGGAUACAAUUUAAGCAUAAGUGUAAUACCCUAAUUUUUCCCAGCCCAAAUCAAAUAAAUAAACAAAAUAUAUAAAAAAACAAAAAAAAAUUAUUAAGAGUUCAUCAGUCCAGCAAACCCAAAAUACAAGCUAAGUCCAUUUACAGAUAGUCCAUUUACAGAUAGCCCAAUAACCCAAACAGAUCCCAAAUACCCACUUAACCUAGCCCAAACCAAA